rnacentral:rRNA from 1 species
UACGUAGGGUGCAAGCGUUGUCCGGAAUUAUUGGGCGUAAAGAGCUCGUAGGCGGUUCGUCGCGUCGGCUGUGAAAACCUGAGGCUCAACCUCAGGCCUGCAGUCGAUACGGGCGGACUUGAGUACGUGCAGGGGAGACUGGAAUUCCUGGUGUAGCGGUGGAAUGCGCAGAUAUCAGGAGGAACACCGGUGGCGAAGGCGGUUCUCUGGGCCUUACCUGACGCUGGAGGAGCGAAAGCGUGGGGAGCGAACAGG